CCUACGGGUGGCAGCAGUGGGGAAUAUUGCACAAUGGGGGAAAUCCUGAUGCAGCGACGCCGCGUGAGUGAAGAAGUAUCUCGGUAUGUAAAGCUCUAUCAGCCGGGAAGAAAAUGACGGUACCUGAUUAAGAAGCCCCGGCUAACUACGUGCCAGCAGCCGCGGUAAUACGGCGGGGGCAAGCGUUAUCCGGAUUUACUGGGUGUAAAGGGGGCGUAGUCGGUGAUGCAAGUCAGGAGGGAAAGCCCGGGGCUCAAAUCCGGGAGGGCCUUUGAAACUGUGUGACUGGAGUGCAGGAGAGGUAAGCGGAAUUCCUGGUGUAGCGGUGAAAUGCGUAGAUAUCAGGAGGAACACCAGUGGCGAAGGCGGCGUACUGGCCCGUAACUGACGUUGAGGCACGAAAGCGUGGGGAGCAAACAGGAUUAGAUACCCGGGUAGUC
rnacentral:rRNA from 1 species